rnacentral:rRNA from 1 species
ACGGGUGAGUAAUGUCUGGGAAACUGCCUGAUGGAGGGGGAUAACUACUGGAAACAGUAGCUAAUACCGCAUAACGUCGCAAGACCAAAGAGGGGGACCUUCGGGCCUCUUGCCUUCAGAUGUGCCCAGAUGGGAUUAGCUAGUAGGUGGGGUAACGGCUCACCUAGGCGACGAUCCCUAGCUGGUCUGAGAGGAUGACCAGCCACACUGGAACUGAGACACGGUCCAGACUCCUACGGGAGGCAGCAGUGGGGAAUAUUGCACAAUGGGCGCAAGCCUGAUGCAGCCAUGCCGCGUGUAUGAAGAAGGCCUUCGGGUUGUAAAGUACUCUCAGCGGGGAGGAAGGUGUUGCGGUUAAUAACCGCAGCAAUUGACGUUACCCGCAGAAGAAGCACCGGCUAACUCCGUGCCAGCAGCCGCGGUAAUACGGAGGGUGCAAGCGUUAAUCGGAAUUACUGGGCGUAAAGCGCACGCAGGCGGUCUGUCAAGUCGGAUGUGAAAUCCCCGGGCUCAACCUGGGAACUGCAUUCGAAACUGGCAGGCUAGAGUCUUGUAGAGGGGGGUAGAAUUCCAGGUGUAGC